AAAUACCCCUAGAAUCAUCAUUUAAUUGUCACGAAAAGUGUUGUAACAUUGUAAGAGAGCAAUGGGAUUUUGCUUUAGCAAUAUUUGCUCAAAAAUAAACUUGUCGUUACAAUACACGAGAUUGACAAAACUUCUUCAACCUAUGUUAUCAGCUCACCCCAGCUCAUUGAUAGAAUAACGGUGUUUGUAUUACACUAUCACUUGGAGAACCUCACGGUGUUGUCGUUCUCGUUCAAACCUUCCAGAUGUCUCCCAUAUCUAGCUUCUUCUGAGUUACCAUCAACUUCAUUGGUUUUUUGC
rnacentral:lncRNA from 1 species